rnacentral:rRNA from 1 species
UGCAGUCGAACGGUAGCACAGAGAGCUUGCUCUCGGGUGACGAGUGGCGGACGGGUGAGUAAUGUCUGGGAAACUGCCUGAUGGAGGGGGAUAACUACUGGAAACGGUAGCUAAUACCGCAUAACGUCGCAAGACCAAAGAGGGGGACCUUCGGGCCUCUUGCCAUCAGAUGUGCCCAGAUGGGAUUAGCUAGUAGGUGGGGUAAUGGCUCACCUAGGCGACGAUCCCUAGCUGGUCUGAGAGGAUGACCAGCCACACUGGAACUGAGACACGGUCCAGACUCCUACGGGAGGCAGCAGUGGGGAGUAUUGCACAAUGGGCGCAAGCCUGAUGCAGCCAUGCCGCGUGUAUGAAGAAGGCCUUCGGGUUGUAAAGUACUUUCAGCGGGGAGGAAGGUGUUGUGGUUAAUAACCGCAGCAAUUGACGUUACCCGCAGAAGAAGCACCGGCUAACUCCGUGCCAGCAGCCGCGGUAAUACGGAGGGUGCAAGCGUUAAUCGGAAUUACUGGGCGUAAAGCGCACGCAGGCGGUCUGUCAAGUCGGAUGUGAAAUCCCCGGGCUCAACCUGGGAACUGCAUUCGAAACUGGCAGGCUAGAGUCUUGUAGAGGGGGGUAGAAUUCCAGGUGUAGCGGUGAAAUGCGUAGAGAUCUGGAGGAAUACCGGUGGCGAAGGCGGCCCCCUGGACAAAGACUGACGCUCAGG